UACGUAGGGUGCGAGCGUUAAUCGGAAUUACUGGGCGUAAAGCGUGCGCAGGCGGCUUCGCAAGUCAGACGUGAAAUCCCCGGGCUUAACCUGGGAAUGGCGUUUGAAACUACGGAGCUGGAGUGUGGCAGAGGGAGGUAGAAUUCCACGUGUAGCGGUGAAAUGCGUAGAUAUGUGGAGGAAUACCGAUGGCGAAGGCAGCCUCCUGGGCCAACACUGACGCUCAUGCACGAAAGCGUGGGUAGCAAACAGG
rnacentral:rRNA from 1 species